rnacentral:rRNA from 1 species
UUCGGUACCUUCAGCCUCCUACACGUAAGAGGGUUUAUUCCCGAAUAAAAGCAGUUUACAACCCAUAGGGCAGUCAUCCUGCACGCGGCAUGGCUGGUUCAGGCUUGCGCCCAUUGACCAAUAUUCCUCACUGCUGCCUCCCGUAGGAGUA